UAGUCAUAUGCUUGUCUCAAAGAUUAAGCCAUGCAUGUCUAAGUACAAGCCUCACUAAGGUGAAACCGCGAAUGGCUCAUUAAAUCACACCUAAUCUACUGGAUAGUUAACAGUUACUUGGAUAACUGCGGUAAUUCUGGAGCUAAUACAUGCACAAAGCCCCGAACUUACGUGAGGGGCGCUUUUAUUAGAUCAAAACCAAACGGCUUCGGCUGUAUCCUUGGUGACUCUGAAUAACUUUGGGCUGAUCGCAUGGCCUAGCGCCGGCGACAUAUCCUUCGAAGGUGUGCCCUAUCAACUGUCGACUGUGGCAUAGACGCCCACAGUGGUUUUGACGGGUAACGGGGAAUCAGGGUUCGAUUCCGGAGAGGGAGCCUUAAAAACGGCUACCACAUCUAAGGAAGGCAGCAGGCACGCAAAUUACCCAAUGACCGAAGGUCGAGGUAGUGACAAAAAAUAACGAUACGGGACCCAUCUGAGGCCCCGUAAUCGGAAUGAGUACACUUUAAAACCGUCCCCGAGGAUCUAUUGG
rnacentral:rRNA from 1 species